rnacentral:tRNA from 1 species
AGGCUUGUAGCUCAGGUGGUUAGAGCGCACCCCUGAUAAGGGUGAGGUCGGUGGUUCAAGUACACUCAGGCCUACCA